CUGCAGCCAACAUAUAAUACUAAGACCCAUGGUUAGGAUCAGAAUUUGUUGCAUAGUCAAACUACAAUAGCCUCACAUUAAAUGGCCAUGGUGUCACAGGUCUAAGGAUCAGUUGUUCCAUUGCAAUAUCGAACCAGUUACUGACGAAUGAGUAGACAUCCAUAUAACUGUUCGUAGUUGGUCACACUCAGUACCCUUGUUCUCCAACAACCACCUGCAUGUUCGCUCCAGUGUCCCCAUACUGAUGACUCGAGAUUCGUCAUCCCAAAAAAGAAGCGGCACACACAUCAAUCUUACCGGAUCAAUCAUCGUCCCCAUGAUGAUCCACCAAUUGAGAGCAUUUAGGAAUUAUUCACCAAUAAUAUGCAUCUCAAACUCUCAACUCUUGACAAUACAUAUUAUCAUCUUAUUAAUUCAAAGGACGAUUCACGAACACAUUAAAUAUGAAUGGAAUAAAAUGUCCAAUUAUAUAAAUAAUAAAGAUUAAGUACAAAUAUAUAUCCUAUAAAAAAUAAAAUGCGUCAGCCUGAUAGGUUUUUAGGG
rnacentral:lncRNA from 1 species